rnacentral:rRNA from 1 species
ACUCCUGCGGGAGGCAGCAGUGAGGAAUAUUGGACAAUGGGUGGAAGCCUGAUCCAGCCAUCCCGCGUGCAGGAAGACGGCCCUAUGGGUUGUAAACUGCUUUUAUCUGGGGAUAAACCUACUUACGUGUAAGUAGCUGAAGGUACCAGAAGAAUAAGCACCGGCUAACUCCGUGCCAGCAGCCGCGGUAAUACGGAGGGUGCAAGCGUUAUCCGGAUUUAUUGGGUUUAAAGGGUCCGUAGGCGGACUGAUAAGUCAGUGGUGAAAUCCGACAGCUUAACUGUCGAACUGCCAUUGAUACUGUUAGUCUUGAGUAAGGUUGAAGUGGCUGGAAUAAGUAGUGUAGCGGUGAAAUGCAUAGAUAUUACUUAGAACACCAAUUGCGAAGGCAGGUCACUAAGUCUUAACUGACGCUGAUGGACGAAAGCGUGGGGAGCGAACAGGAUUAGAAACCCCGGUAGUCCCAUG